rnacentral:rRNA from 1 species
AUUGAACGCUGGCGGCAGGCCUAAAACAUGCAAGUCGAACGAGUGGCGGACGGGUGAGUAAUGUCUGGGAAACUGCUUGAUGGAGGGGGAUAACUACUGGAAACGGUAGCUAAUACCGCCUACCAUCCGUAGUGCCCAGAUGGGAUUAGCUCGUAGGUGGGGUAAAGGCUCACCUAGGCGCCGAUCCCUAGCUGGUCUGAGAGGAUGACCAGCCACACUGGAACGGAGACACGGUCCGGACUCCUACGGGAGGCAGCAGUGGGAAAUAUUGCACAAUGGGCGCAAGCCUGAGGCAGCCAUGCCGCGUGUAUGAAGAAGGCCUUCGGGUUGUAAAGUACUUUCAGCGGGGAGGCGUUACCCGCAGAAGAAGCACCGGCUAACUCCGUGCCAGCAGCCGCGGUAAUUC